GACGACGCUGCGGCGUGCUAAUACAUGCAAGUCGUACGCUCUUUUCCACCGGAGCUUGCUCCACCGGAAAAAGAGGAGUGGCGAACGGGUGAGUAACACGUGGGUAACCUGCCCAUCAGAAGGGGAUAACACUUGGAAACAGGUGCUAAUACCGUAUAACAAUCGAAACCGCAUGGUUUUGAUUUGAAAGGCGCUUUCGGGUGUCGCUGAUGGAUGGACCCGCGGUGCAUUAGCUAGUUGGUGAGGUAACGGCUCACCAAGGCCACGAUGCAUAGCCGACCUGAGAGGGUGAUCGGCCACAUUGGGACUGAGACACGGCCCAAACUCCUACGGGAGGCAGCAGUAGGGAAUCUUCGGCAAUGGACGAAAGUCUGACCGAGCAACGCCGCGUGAGUGAAGAAGGUUUUCGGAUCGUAAAACUCUGUUGUUAGAGAAGAAUAAGGAUGAGAGUAACUGUUCAUCCCUUGACGGUAUCUAACCAGAAAGCCACGGCUAACUACGUGCCAGCAGCCGCGGUAAUACGUAGGUGGCAAGCGUUGUCCGGAUUUAUUGGGCGUAAAGCGAGCGCAGGCGGUUUCUUAAGUCUGAUGUGAAAGCCCCCGGCUCAACCGGGGAGGGUCAUUGGAAACUGGGAGACUUGAGUGCAGAAGAGGAGAGUGGAAUUCCAUGUGUAGCGGUGAAAUGCGUAGAUAUAUGGAGGAACACCAGUGGCGAAGGCGGCUCUCUGGUCUGUAACUGACGCUGAGGCUCGAAAGCGUGGGGAGCAAACAGGAUUAGAUACCCUGGUAGUCCACGCCGUAAACGAUGAGUGCUAAGUGUUGGAGGGUUUCCGCCCUUCAGUGCUGCAGCUAACGCAUUAAGCACUCCGC
rnacentral:rRNA from 1 species